ACGGUACCGGAAGAAGAAGCACCGGCUAACUACGUGCCAGCAGCCGCGGUAAUACGUAGGGUGCGAGCGUUAAUCGGAAUUACUGGGCGUAAAGCAUGCGCAGGCGGUUUUGUAAGACAGAUGUGAAAUCCCCGGGCUUAACCUGGGAACUGCAUUUGUAACUGCAAGGCUAGAGUACGGCAGAGGGGGGUAGAAUUCCACGUGUAGCAGUGAAAUGCGUAGAUAUGUGGAGGAAUACCGAUGGCGAAGGCAGCCCCCUGGGUCGAUACUGACGCUCAUGCACGAAAGCGUGGGGAGCAAACAGGAUUAGAUACCCUGGUAGUCCACGCCCUAAACGAUGUCAACUAGGUGUUGGGGGAGGAGACUUCCUUAGUACCGCAGCUAACGCGUGAAGUUGACCGCCUGGGGAGUACGGUCGCAAGAUUAAAACUCAAAGGAAUUGACGGGGACCCGCACAAGCGGUGGAUUAUGUGGAUUAAUUCGAUGCAACGCGAAAAACCUUACCUACCCUUGACAUGCCAGGAACUUGCCAGAGAUGGCUUGGUGCCCGAAAG
rnacentral:rRNA from 1 species